GGUGGCUCAGUGGUAGAGCGCUUGCCUUACAUGCUCAAGGCCCUGGGUUCGAUUCCCCAGCACCA
rnacentral:tRNA from 1 species